rnacentral:rRNA from 1 species
CCUACGGGAGGCAGCAGUGAGGAAUAUUGGUCAAUGGGCGAGAGCCUGAACCAGCCAAGUCGCGUGAGGGAGUACUGCCCUAUGGGUUGUAAACCUCUUUUGUCGGGGAGCAAAAGCCGGACGUGUCCGGCUGUGAGAGUACCCGAAGAAAAAGCAUCGGCUAACUCCGUGCCAGCAGCCGCGGUAAUCCGGGGGAUGCGAGCGUGAUCGGGAUUUAUGGGGGUUAAAGGGUGCGCAGGCGGAGUUUUAAGUCAGCGGUCAAAUCGUGGGUGUCAACCCCAUCAAGCCGUUGAAACUGGGGAGCUAGAGUGGGCGAGAGGUAUGCGGAAGGCGUGGUGUAGCGGUGAAAUGCAUAGAUAUCACGCAGAACCCCGAUUGCGAAGGCAGCAUACCGGUGCACAACUGACGCUCAGGCACGAAAGCGUGGGUAUCGAACAGGAUUAGAUACCCCAGUAGUC